GGAAGCAUACAGAAAUAUCUCGCCUUCCUGUUCGAUAACGUUUAUUUUGGCCCAGUGAUCUUGUUUAAUUAUUUUCAACAUUCCAAAGGCAAAUAUUCACGUGUUUGAAAACAAAAAAGAAAUUCAACAUACCACAACAACGCGUUGAUCAAGAUAUGAUCGGGAUAGCGAGUGAUCCUGAACAUGGAAAUAAUGUUAUUGAAGUGCUGAAGAAACAAAAACUAGGUCUGACACUAGGAGUGCUUCUGGGCUUGGCAGCAUUGUAUGUAAUUGUGGCUGUGUAUCUAUAUCGACCUAUACGGCCCAACAGG